AGCUUAUGUAUACAUUGUUUAGAUCAUAAUCAUUUAAUUAUUUAUUACAUUUACAGAUUUAUAUGCUGUCUGUAUGUAUAUCUAAUGAAAGACGGAUCUAGACUUUUAUUAUGUGGAUCCGACCAUGACCUUUGCGACUUCCAAGGGAAAAUAUUGUGAAUAAGAUUGAAAACAGUGAAGUAAAAAUAUCAAAGUUUAGAAAGGAAAUUGUGCUGUGGCUGCUUCAACAUUCACAGAAAGUGAUGCACAGGAAAAAGAUCAUCAGAAUUAAAUUCUAUCAAAGACAAAUGACAGAGAAGAAUGGAGAAAGAAGGUUGACAGAUCUUGUGCGGUCCAGCACACCAAAGGAUAUGUGAAAGUGAAUUAAAUGAGAACCUGGCCUAAAUCAUGUCUUAUGAUGAGUAUCUAAUUGUUCUAAUUGUUUUGUAAAGGGUCAAUCUCUUAUUCAAAUUCUCAAGAAAAGAAAAAAAAACAUUUUCGAAUAAAAAAAAAUUCCUUUAUUUAGUGU